rnacentral:sRNA from 1 species
AGGACACCUCGUUCGGUGAGGCGUCUUCACGGACACAGGCCACUGAUCCCACCCGUCGAGAGACGCUCCGGAUCAGGACAGGUCUCCCCGGCCCAAGGGGUGACCCCAAGUGGCUUCCCCGUACGUACGGGAUACGCCGUGGAGUGCCAAAGCUCUGACGAGUUGGGGUGCGCC